CAAAGGAAUUGACGGGGGCCCGCACAAGCAGUGGAGCAUGUGGUUUAAUUCGAAGCAACGCGAAGAACCUUACCAGGUCUUGACAUCCUUUGACAAUCCUAGAGAUAGGACUUUCCCCUUCGGGGGACAAAGUGACAGGUGGUGCAUGGUUGUCGUCAGCUCGUGUCGUGAGAUGUUGGGUUAAGUCCCGCAACGAGCGCAACCCUUGAUCUUAGUUGCCAGCAUUUAGUUGGGCACUCUAAGGUGACUGCCGGUGACAAACCGGAGGAAGGUGGGGACGACGUCAAAUCAUCAUGCCCCUUAUGACCUGGGCUACACACGUGCUACAAUGGAUGGUACAAAGAGCAGCAAAACCGCGAGGUCGAGCCAAUCUCAUAAAGCCAUUCUCAGUUCGGAUUGUAGGCUGCAACUCGCCUACAUGAAGCCGGAAUUGCUAGUAAUCGCGGAUCAGCAUGCCGCGGUGAAUACGUUCCCGGGCCUUGUACACACCGCCCGUCACACCACGAGAGUUUGUAACACCCGAAGUCGGU
rnacentral:rRNA from 1 species